UCUGAGAAAUAAGGAAUCAUGGAAAAUACUUCUUACAAGCUAGCUCUCAUGCUUGCCCUUCUUGCUGCAUCUGCGUGUCUUGGGGUUUCGAGAGUAGAAGGAAAUAGUAAGAAGAAUGGAGAAGGCAUUGGUGGAAUUUUAGCACAGAAGUGCAGCGUGUUUGGGGAUUGCAUCCAUUUAGUGUGCCAAGAGCCUUGUAUUCAAGUUGCGUGCUGGAAUGGCGAGUGUGUUUGCACCUGUGGCCCUGCUGACCACCCCAAAUUUCACCUCUCUUAAUUUACUCUUUCUGCCUCCUGCCUUCUAAUUAAUAAUUAACUGGCACCUAAAUAAAGUACCAUUUCUAUCAAAUAAAAUCUUUGCUUCCUAUUA